UGGGGAAUAUUGCACAAUGGGCGCAAGCCUGAUGCAGCCAUGCCGCGUGUGUGAAGAAGGCCUUCGGGUUGUAAAGCACUUUCAGCGGGGAGGAAGGCGAUAAGGUUAAUAACCUUGUCGAUUGACGUUACCCGCAGAAGAAGCACCGGCUAACUCCGUGCCAGCAGCCGCGGUAAUACGGAGGGUGCAAGCGUUAAUCGGAAUUACUGGGCGUAAAGCGCACGCAGGCGGUCUGUCAAGUCGGAUGUGAAAUCCCCGGGCUCAACCUGGGAACUGAAUUCGAAACUGGCAGGCUAGAGUCUUGUAGAGAGGGGUAGAAUUCCAGGUGUAGCGGUGAAAUGCGUAGAGAUCUGGAGGAAUACCGGUGGCGAAGGCGGCCCCCUGGACAAAGACUGACGCUCAGGUGCGAAAGCGUGGGGAGCAAACAGG
rnacentral:rRNA from 1 species